UACGGAGGGAGCUAGCGUUGUUCGGAAUUACUGGGCGUAAAGCGCACGUAGGCGGCUUUGUAAGUUAGAGGUGAAAUCCUGGAGCUCAACUCCAGAACUGCCUCCGAUACUGGGAGCCUUCGAGUCCGGGAGAGGUGAGUGGAACUGCGAGUGUAGAGGUGAAAUUCGUAGAUAUUCGCAAGAACACCAGUGGCGAAGGCGGCUCACUGGCCCGGUACUGACGCUGAGGUGCGAAAGCGUGGGGAGCAAACAGG
rnacentral:rRNA from 1 species